rnacentral:rRNA from 1 species
GACGAACGCUGGCGGCGUGCUUAACACAUGCAAGUCGAACGGUAAGGCCCUUCGGGGUACACGAGUGGCGAACGGGUGAGUAACACGUGGGUGAUCUGCCCUGCACUUCGGGAUAAGCCUGGGAAACUGGGUCUAAUACCGGAUAGGACCACUGCCUGCAUGGGUGGUGGUGGAAAGCUUUUGCGGUGCGGGAUGGGGCCGCGGCCUAUCAGCUUGUUGGUGGGGUGAUGGCCUACCAAGGCGACGACGGGUAGCCGGCCUGAGAGGGUGACCGGCCACACUGGGACUGAGAUACGGCCCAGACUCCUACGGGAGGCAGCAGUGGGGAAUAUUGCACAAUGGGCGCAAGCCUGAUGCAGCGACGCCGCGUGAGGGAUGACGGCCUUCGGGUUGUAAACCCCUUUCAGCACCGACGAAGCGCAAGUGACGGUAGGUGCAGAAGAAGGACCGGCCGACUACGUGCCAGCCGCCGCCGUAAGAC